rnacentral:rRNA from 1 species
GACGAACGCUGGCGGCGUGCUUAACACAUGCAAGUCGAACGAAAAGAGGGAAAGAGCUUGCUCUUUCCGGAAUUGAGUGGCAAACGGGUGAGUAACACGUAAACAACCUGCCUUCAGGAUGGGGACAACAGACGGAAACGACUGCUAAUACCGAAUAAGUUCCAAGGGCCGCAUGGCCCAUGGAAGAAAAGGUGGCCUCUACCUGUAAGCUAUCGCCUGAAGAGGGGUUUGCGUCUGAUUAGCUGGUUGGAGGGGUAACGGCCCACCAAGGCGACGAUCAGUAGCCGGUCUGAGAGGAUGAACGGCCACACUGGAACUGAGACACGGUCCAGACUCCUACGGGAGGCAGCAGUGGGGAAUCUUCCGCAAUGGGCGAAAGCCUGACGGAGCAACGCCGCGUGAGUGAUGACGGCCUUCGGGCUGUAAAACUCUGUGAUCCGGGACGAAAAGGCAGAGUGCGAAGAACAAACUGCAUUGACGGUACCGGAAAAGCAAGCCACGGCUAACUACGUG